AAUUUAGAUCAAUGUUUGUUUGUAUUUUGAUGAAUUACUACCCCUUCUUAAAAAAAAAAAAUAAUAAUAAUAACAAUAAAUUCGCACUUUUUUUUUUUUUUUUUUUUGCUUAUUGUUUUUUUUCUUCGCCCACAGUCUUUCCGAGGUCGCGGGCUGGCUGAAAAAUAAAGACGACGUGGGUGUUUAAAACCACACACAGGCGUUCAGAGAGUGGAGGGUAACUCCACUUUCUGAACACAGAGAGUUUCCAAACACCUGUAGUUCUUAAGCUCGACACUUAUGGGAUCAUUACGAUGACACCCUGAAAGGAAACCGAAAAAAAUAUUGAAACUGAAAAAAAAUAUUGUAACUGAAAUAAAUGUACUGAAAAAUCUUGCAUUGAUACUGAAAAAAAAGAUAUUGAAAAACAAUUAAUUGAAACUGUAAUUUUUUUUUUCAAUUGACUAUGUGCACGAUAGCAUAUGCUAGUUCCGGUGCGGAAAAUCCUGUGUGGAGCUUUGUUUCCGGUGUCCUAUUCGCGCCCUGUUUAAUGUCCAAAAGAAGUUAACCAAAUGAAUGAAUUAAGCGUCGAUUUACAUUUCUAUAGAUGUCUUGGUCAUUUACCCAAUAUAUCUGUAAAUGAUGUUCACGGACUUGUCGAUAUUUUGCCCCCACGCCUCAGAGCAAAGGAGAAAAGGGAUUCAAAUGUUAUAUUUCUCAGCUGUCCCUCGUUUAUUGCGGGUGUUAUGUUCUAAAAAUAACCAGCAAUGGGUGAAAUCAAGUAGCCAAUUUUAUUUUUUUGAUGCGUGGACAUCGUGGACAUCCAGUACUGCACUUUUUAAUUUAGAAGGUUAGCACCUCAUACCACAGUGCAGCAAAAGCAGUCUCAUGAGGGCGCUGGGAAGGACAAGCCCAGAGCCCAAAACAGACAGUGCAGGAGAUGACAAGGUUAGUAAUUGUAUGGUGAAAAUUAGACUUUUAGUUAUCUUGAUUGGCAAAAAAAAAAGUAAAUAAAAAAUCAGCUUCUCACAUAUAGGUCAUUUCCAAGAUUUUUUUCAAAACUUCUUCCCUUUAUUUCAUUACAGCUGUCCUGUGCCAGAUGUUCUGUUGACCCACAGUGAGAGGCAUCAUUUCAGAAACACCAGGAAGACUGAAACUCAUCGCAGGG
rnacentral:lncRNA from 1 species